AUAUUGGACAAUGGGCGCAAGCCUGAUCCAGCCAUGCCGCGUGUGUGAAGAAGGUCUUCGGAUUGUAAAGCACUUUAAGUUGGGAGGAAGGGCAUUAACCUAAUACGUUAGUGUUUUGACGUUACCGACAAAAUAAGCACCGGCUAACUCUGUGCCAGCAGCCGCGGUAAUACAGAGGGUGCAAGCGUUAAUCGGAAUUACUGGGCGUAAAGCGCGCGUAGGUGGUUCGUGAAGUUGGAUGUGAAAUCCCCGGGCUCAACCUGGGAACUGCAUCCAAAACUGGCGAGCUAGAGUAGGGCAGAGGGUGGUGGAAUUUCCUGUGUAGCGGUGAAAUGCGUAGAUAUAGGAAGGAACACCAGUGGCGAAGGCGACCACCUGGGCUCAUACUGACACUGAGGUGCGAAAGCGUGGGGAGCAAA
rnacentral:rRNA from 1 species